UGGGGAAUAUUGCACAAUGGGCGCAAGCCUGAUGCAGCCAUGCCGCGUGUAUGAAGAAGGCCUUCGGGUUGUAAAGUACUUUCAGCGGGGAGGAAGGCGAUAAGGUUAAUAACCUUGUCGAUUGACGUUACCCGCAGAAGAAGCACCGGCUAACUCCGUGCCAGCAGCCGCGGUAAUACGGAGGGUGCAAGCGUUAAUCGGAAUUACUGGGCGUAAAGCGCACGCAGGCGGUCUGUCAAGUCGGAUGUGAAAUCCCCGGGCUCAACCUGGGAACUGCAUUCGAAACUGGCAGGCUAGAGUCUUGUAGAGGUGGGUAGAAUUCCAGGUGUAGCGGUGAAAUGCGUAGAGAUCUGGAGGAAUACCGGUGGCGAAGGCGGCCCCCUGGACAAAGACUGACGCUCAGGUGCGAAAGCGUGGGGAGCAAACA
rnacentral:rRNA from 1 species